AUGAGCCCGUUCGACGACCACGCGUUCGACCCCGUGCGCCCUGAGGCCGUCGACGACCUGCGGGCCAUCGCCGACCGGAUGGCGCGUGCGGGGUACGCACGCGAGCUAGCCGAUGCCUACUGCAACAUCCGGCGCGACCUGCUCGACGAAUACCUCUCCGUGCUGGGCGUCGAGCGCCUCAGCAUCGACGAGGUGCAGCGCGUGGAGUGGAAGCAGCUCAACGACAAGAUGAAGAAGUGGGUGCAAGGGGUUAAGACGGUUGUGCGUGUGCUGCUUGCUGGUGAGCGUCGCCUCUGUGACCAGGUGCUCGCUGUGUCCGACGAGCUCAGGGAGGAGUGCUUCGUCGAGUCCACCAAAGGAUGCAUUAUGCAGAUUCUAAAUUUUGGGGACGCCGUGGCUGUGUGCCCCCGCUCGCCCGAGAAGCUCUCACGGAUUCUUGAUAUGUAUGAGGCACUUGCCGAGGUAGUCCCUGAAAUGAAGGAUUUGUGCCUCGGAAGUUCCGGUGAUGGUGUAAUCAGUGAUGUUCAAGCAAUUCUUGAUAGGCUCGGCGAAGCCGUGAGGGGUACCCUUUUUGAGUUUGGGAAAGUUCUGCAGCAAGAGUCAUCGCGGAGGGCGAUGACGGCUGGUGAGAUCCACCCAAUGACACGGUAUGUCAUGAACUAUUUGAGGCUGUUGGUCGUUUAUAGUGAGACACUUGAUGGCCUCUUGGAUGAUGAUGGCGAUGAGAGCAAUGCUUUGGAAAGACCUGAGGAUAAGGAUCAGGAUACGGAACACUUAGAGAGUAUGGCCCCUCUUGGAAGGCGUCUUCUGAAGCUGAUGUGUUAUUUGGAGGCCAAUUUGGAGGACAAGUCUAAGCUAUAUGAAGAUGCUGCCCUGGAGUGCAUAUUUUCCAUGAACAAUUUGCUCUACAUUGUUCAGAAGGUGAAGGAUUCUGAGCUUGGGAAGAUUUUAGGUGAUCAUUGGGUAAGAAGGCACAGCGGGAAGAUUCGGCAGUACUCAAAGAGCUACCUAAGGAUUUCUUGGAUGAAGACUUUGUCUUAUCUGAGGGACGAUGUACAUGGGAGUGGGAGUGGGAGCGGCAGUGGUAGUGGCAGUGGACAUUCAGGUUCUAGGAUGUCCAUCAAGGAGAAGUUCAAGAACUUCAACUUGUCCUUUGAGGAAAUUUACAGGAACCAGACACUCUGGAAGGUUCCAGAUCCUCAGCUCCGAGAAGAGCUGAAGAUAUCUAUAUCUGAGAAUGUGAUUCCGGCAUAUCGUGCUUUUUUGGGAAGAUAUGGUAGUCAAGUGGAUGGGGGCAGAAACUCGGGAAAGUAUAUAAAGUACACCCCAGAGGACCUGGAGGGUCAAUUGUCUGAUUUAUUUGAGGGCUCACCAGGGUCUGCCAACCACUCUAGGCGAAGAACAUAG
rnacentral:rRNA from 1 species